rnacentral:rRNA from 1 species
UACGUAGGGUGCAAGCGUUGUCCGGAAUUAUUGGGCGUAAAGAGCUCGUAGGCGGUUCGUCGCGUCGGCUGUGAAAACCCGGAGCUCAACUCCGGGCCUGCAGUCGAUACGGGCGGACUUGAGUGUUGCAGGGGAGACUGGAAUUCCUGGUGUAGCGGUGAAAUGCGCAGAUAUCAGGAGGAACACCAGAGGCGAAAGCGGCAUCCUGGGCCGGGCCUGACGCUGAGGCGUGAAAGCGUGGGGAGCGAACCGG